AAUGGGCGCAAGCCUGAUCCAGCCAUCCCGCGUGCAGGAUGACUGCCUAUGGGUUGUAAACUGCUUUUAUGUGAGAAGAACACUUGGAUUUAUCUGAGUUUGACGGUAUCACAGGAAUAAGCACCGGCUAACUCCGUGCCAGCAGCCGCGGUAAUACGGAGGGUGCAAGCGUUAUCCGGAAUCACUGGGUUUAAAGGGUGCGUAGGCGGUCUAAUAAGUCAGAGGUGAAAGUUCGCAGCUUAACUGUAAAAUUGCCUUUGAUACUGUUGGACUUGAAUUAGGUUGAGGUUAGCGGAAUGAGUCAUGUAGCGGUGAAAUGCAUAGAUAUGACUUAGAACACCAAUUGCGAAGGCAGCUGACUAGACCUAUAUUGACGCUGAGGCACGAAAGCGUGGGGAGCGAACAGGAUU
rnacentral:rRNA from 1 species